rnacentral:rRNA from 1 species
GGAGGGCCCAAGCGUUGAUCGGAAUCACUGGGCUUAAAGCGUGCGCAGGCGGAAGCGUUAGUGUCUUGUGAAAUCCCACGGCUCAACCGUGGAACUGCAGGGCAUACUACGUUUCUUGAGGUCGGUAGGGGAUGCCGGAACUCUAGGUGUAGCGGUGAAAUGCGUAGAUAUCUAGAGGAACACCAAAGGUGAAGACAGGCAUCUGGGCCGAAUCUGACGCUCAUGCUCGAAAGCGUGGGGGGAGCAAACAGGAUUAGAUACCCUGGUAGUCCACGCCGUAAACGAUGUGCACUAGGUCCGGGAGGUACUGACACCAUCCGGGCCGGAGUAAAAACAUUAAGUGCACCGCCUGGGAGUACGGUCGCAAGGCUA